rnacentral:rRNA from 1 species
UCCAGGGCUACACACGUGCUACAAUGGGCUGUACAAAAGGGUUGCGAACCCGCGAGGGUAAGCCAAUCCUAUAAAGCAGUUCUAAGUUCGGAUUGGAGUCUGCAACCUCGACUCCAUGAAGCUGGAAUCGCUAGUAAUCGCGGAUCAGCACGCCGCGGUGAAUACGUUCCCGGGCCUU